GCCCAAAUCGUACACCACAGUUUCCCAAUGUGAAUUGAGUGAUGAGUAUGUGACACUGACAAAAAACGCGUACGGCGAGAGAGAAAUAUGAUGACUGCUUUUCUCCUGCUGUGUGUUGUUGGGGUGCUCUGCUCUGAUGCUGCGGCAGAGCAAAAUGGAUCCUGUGAGCCCAGGCCUGAGGUUGAAUGUUUUGUGCUAGAUGACUAUCUGAAUGCAUCCCGUCCUGUCAAAGUUGAGGCGUGCUCUGGUAAGAAAUUCAACAUCUCCCUGGAGAGCUUCAGUGGAUAUGCUGUCUGUUACCACAUCGGAGAAAAAGGCCAAAUGAC